rnacentral:rRNA from 1 species
GAUACUYGGUGUGAAUUGCAGAAUCCCGUGAACCAUCGAGUUUUKGAACGCAAGUUGCGCCCGAAGCCAUUAGGCCGAGGGMACGUCUGCCUGGGCGUCACAC